rnacentral:rRNA from 1 species
UACGUAGGGGGCAAGCGUUGUCCGGAUUUAUUGGGCGUAAAGAGCGUGUAGGCGGCCUUACUGGUCAGCUGUGAAAACUCGAGGCUCAACCUCGAGACGUCGGUUGAAACCGUAAGGCUAGAGUCCGGAAGAGGAGAGUGGAAUUCCCGGUGUAGCGGUGAAAUGCGCAGAUAUCGGGAAGAACACCCGUGGCGAAGGCGGCUCACUGGCCCGGUACUGACGCUGAGGUGCGAAAGCGUGGGGAGCAAACGGG